UACGUAGGGCGCAAGCGUUUAUCCGGAAUUAUUGGGCGUAAGGAGCUCGUAGGCGGUUUGUCGCGUCUGCCGUGAAAGUCCGGGGCUCAACCUCGGGUCUGCAGUCGAUACGAGCAAACUAGAGUGUUGCAGGGGAGACUGGAAUUCCUGGUGUAGCGGUGAAAUGCGCAGAUAUCAGGAGGAACACCGGUGGCGAAGGCGGGUCUCUGGGCAACAACUGACGC
rnacentral:rRNA from 1 species